AAACUUACCUGGCAUGUGAGAUACCUUGAUCACCCAGGACAAGGCUCGACCACUGCACUCAGGCCGUGCUGACUUCUGUGAAUUCCACAAAUGUGGGAAUCUCGACUGCAUCCUUUUUGGUAGUGGGGGACAGCAUCUACGCUUUCCCUUG
ensembl:snRNA U1 U1 spliceosomal RNA